GAUGCUUAAACAUACAAACGUAAACACGUUGGAGCAAUCAGAACAAGGGCUUGGAAACAGGAGUUUGGGAAUGAUCUUGUGACUAAGACCAAUAUGCAACGAGAAAACGUACAAUUGCUCCUCGACGAAUUCAACAAAAACCGUUUAAAGAGCUGCUCAAAGAAAUCUGAAAAUGAAAAGAGUUUUGGAGUAUGCUGCAGACGUGCUUGCUGCGAUAUCAUGUAUGAAAAUAGAUCCAAUGAUGAGAAACUUUAAUGUAUUCUUGCUGUGUGACCAAGCUAACGAUAAGUGAUUACUUCUGUGAGCGAGGCAAGCGGAACUUGCGGGGUAAAGGAUGGUAAGACUCCACACAAAGUGUGCAAAUGACAUUUCUCUUGCUAAAUUUUUCGAGAAUGGAAUGCGACACUUCGUUUUUAGGGCAAAAAUUUGUGCGUGGUGGAUAUCCCCUUGCUUUUAUUUACAGAGAGAAUUUUUUCUGAUAAUAUAAGAAACUACGAAAGAAAUGU